AUCUCUAUGCUCAAUAUUUUGUCAUCAUUAAAAAUGAGGAGAUUGUUGACCUCAAGAAUGAUUUUGAUGAUCAUAAAAUAUUAGAGCAUAAAGCUAAACUAAUAUUUUUCAAGUUUUCUAAAGAAUAUUUUUGUAGAAAGAAAAUACUUUUGGAAAGGCUUGAAAACAAUUAAGGAGCAUUUGAGCCAAUAAUGAUUAAAAUUGGAAUCAAAUUACUUGAGAAAAGCAAUUUUGAAGAGGUCGAGUUGACACCUAAUAGAACCGAGUCAACUCUGACAUGCUCUAAACUCUGGCACAAAGGCUUGAUAAGAAUUCGAGCCAGCUC
rnacentral:lncRNA from 1 species